GUCACUUUGGCGGAGUGGUUAACGCGCUGCCCUGCUAAGGCAGUUCCUUCGGGAGCGUAGGUUCGAAUCCUACAGGUGACG
rnacentral:tRNA from 5 species